rnacentral:rRNA from 1 species
UUACGGUCAAAUCACGCUGAAAACACCGGUUCUCGUUCGAUCACCGAAGUUAAGCAUCGUAGAGACAGGUCAGUACUUUGAUGGGGGACCGCUUGGGAACACCUGGUACUCC